rnacentral:rRNA from 1 species
UACGUAGGGGGCAAGCGUUGUCCGGAAUUACUGGGCGUAAAGGGUGCGUAGGCGGCCUGAUAAGUCAGAUGUGAAAUACCAGGGCUCAACCUUGGGGGUGCAUUUGAAACUGUUAGGCUUGAGUGCAGGAGAGGAAAGUGGAAUUCCUAGUGUAGCGGUGAAAUGCGUAGAGAUUAGGAGGAACACCAGUGGCGAAGGCGACUUUCUGGACUGUAACUGACGCUGAGGCACGAAAGCGUGGGGAGCGAACAGGAUUAGAUACCCUGGUAGUCCACGCCGUAAACGAUGGAUACUAGGUGUAGGGGGUAUCGACCCCCCCUGUGCCGGAGUUAACGCAAUAAGUAUCCCGCCUGGGGAGUACGGCCGCAAGGCUGAA